AAAAAUUUGACAAGCAAAGCUUGAGCUCUUCAAAUCUCGACUGGAUUUGUUUACGCUCAGUAAAGCUAUGAGAUGUUAGGAGUGGAUUACCAAUAGGUACUACCAUCUUCGGCCUUGAUUUUUUAAACACAUUUUCCUGCCGUGUAAGUGGCAGAUUCAUAGACAUUAAGAUCUGAAAAACAAAUAUGCUAAAACAUUGGAAAUGAGUUAUUUACAGCAUCACAUUAACUUUCAUACAUCAAUUAUUGCAGAGAGUCGAAUCUCCUUUGGAAAUUAAAUGGAAAAAUAUGGAAUUUUCUAUAACCAUGUUCAAUCCAUGAGUUUGUAUCUUUUCUCUUGGACACCUGUAACUCCCAUUUGUAUCUCUAUUAUAGUAUGAAGUGGCAUCUGAAACAAUACAACUCCGUCAGAGAGUAGCUAUUAAAAUAUGUAAUAAACGCUAAAAUUCCCAAUAAUCAUAUGAAGAUCCAUGUUUCACCAGAAACUUAAAUGGGCAUUGUUUCAUCUUCACUUAGCCAAGAAUAAUCAUGUUCUUGGUUUUUACUAAACAUGUGGAACAAUAAUCCAUAUGAGGUUAACAAUGAAUAAUUGUAACCCAUGUAACUUUUAACCCCUCAUAUAAUGUUAUUUGGAUUCUUAAAGAGACUAGGUUAACUUUUCACCUCAUUAAUAUUUAUAUUUUUUUGAGGGGUUAAAUAUUAACAUCGGGAGACCUAGGUUAAUAAUUACUAUCUUUGAAUGUUAAAAUUUACAAUAGUAAUAUUUAACCCUUAAUUUUUUAACCUUCUAUUAAACAUAUAGCUGUAGAAAUACCAUUACCCUCAGAGCUAGUUUUUAAUCAUUCAUGGCUUACCUCAAUAUGGGGAAUUUCUUUCAGAGGCCUAUCAGCGAAGUAUGCGUACAAAGCUCUUAAUACUGCCUGAUGAGAAAUCACUACGACAGGAGCUCGUUGCCUUUCAAGUUCAAUAAUCACAGGCUCUAGCCUUUGAAUGACAUCCAGAUAAGAUUCUCCUCGAGGAUACCGGUAUCUCAGCUUGUCCUUCUUACGAGACCUGCUUUUGGGGACAAAUCCAGCAAAUAAACAAUGUGAAAGCACAGAGGGAAAAAAAUGUAAAGCAAAUGCAAGCUUUCAUGUGAAAACAACCUGCACUAAUAGCUAUCAAAGAUUCCAAGUUUACUAGAUAGUUGAUAAUUAGUAACAAGGGGCAAAACAUAUUUUUAGAGAACACAAAACUUACUCAUACUCCUCAGGCAUGUUCUUUUUUAUUUCUUCAUAAGUCAUUCCAUCACAUACUCCAGCAUUUAUCUCAUCAAGGGCACGCCAUUGAAUCUUAGGAAAUCCAACGAUUGGACUAGCUGUGAGAAUGGUUCUCUGCAGUGUGCUAGUCCAAAUAGAGGCAGCCUUCUCAGAUUUCAGUCGUUUUUCAACGAAGUUGGCAAGUUUCUUCGCAUAAAUUUCUCCAGCAUCACUGAGGAAACAAAUUAUCAUAUUUUACAGUAACUUGAAGUAAUCUCAAAGAACAUAAAUCACAGAAAAAUUAGAAAGCAUCCAUAUUGGCCAUCAAAAUAAAGAGAAUAUAACAUUAUAAUGUGAAUAGACAUAUGACUGGGCUAACUUUUAUGUGCCAUUACAUUCAAUCCUUGUCCAGAGAUCUCAAGGUCUGGUCAUGGACUACCAAACACAGAGUUCAAGCCUUAUGAAUAGCUGCUUUAUGAAAAAUUGCUAGGUUAGAAAUGAAUCCAUAUCAAACACCCUUGGAACCUGACAUGGUGAGACAAACCUUCUUAAAUGGGCUGCUAACUUACUAUCCUCUUUCUCAGACUCAAGCAGAUAAGUGCCUUCAGAAAAAUAACUCAAACUUUAAAAACACAAAGGAGUUGCAUUUUAUAGAAGGCUAAGAAAAUAACACACAAACUGAUGUUAUAGGUCUUCAAUAAAUCACUGAUUUCUAGGAUUUUAUUAUUUUUCUAAUACACUUCUUGCUUGUAUGUUGCUGAUAUAAUAACAGUAAUUAUUUCGGCUAUUUAAGCCCCAUACUUAACCAUUUCAAUCACUAAGAAUUCUGUCCUGCACAACAUUGGCAACAAGUAUUUUUUUAAAAUACUUAUGUUCAGAAACUGAGAGGCCAAAAGCAAGAUGUUGGCCGUCAGUCCUGCAUUUUAGGUAGCAUGAAGGCUUUGGUAUUAUAUGCAUGUCUGUAGAGUGUCCCUUCAAGAAGAACUAGUAAAUAAAAUACAAUGAAAGGAGAAAACAAAAUGCUAAACAUAAUACUAGCAUAACCUAUACCAAAAUUAUACUUUCCAGAAGAACGCCUUGUUGUUGCGCUAAGGAGAUAGUGUUUGUUCAUCAUGCUUUGCUUAUUUUCUGAACAAUAAUUAUCACGGAAAUUUUUUGUGAAAUAAAAUUUAAUUAAGUAAAAACCAGCCCACAAAAUCAGUGCAGCCAGAUAUAACAGUAUGUGGGACAUCUGAAAUUAACAAUCAAAUUUACAUAUGCAUAAGUUUCAUUUCAUAGUAACACUAGCAAGUAGCAACUUCUAUAACUGUUUGAAUUUAUGUUAAAAAGAUUAUUAUUAUCUCGAAACCUAAUACCUCAAAACAGUGUCUCCACCAAUUCUGCCCCUAACAUUAUCCCGACUUUCUCCAUGCCUAGUAAGUAAUAUUGGGCGGGGUGUGAGAUGUGUAUUCACCUGCAACAGAUUAAUCAAGGUUCUUGGUGUGCAUCAAAGUCAAACAAACGAGCACAAAAGAUGAAGAGAUUAUAAUGAUACCAUUUAUCAUCCAUCAACGUCACCUCAUAUGCCCAGACUAUUCAAAUCUAUCCUAUAGAACAUGUACAGGCACCUUUAUAAAACCAUAAAUAUUCAUAGAUUGCUCUUCCAUAUUCAAGAAACUUGAAACAUAAUAUAGUUGAGAAACUGAAACUAUAAUCAGCACCAGUAAUCAUACUAAUAAUGUCAUAAAUUUUCAAAAAUUAAGAGAAGUGACUGAGAAUCCAUUUUUCUAACAUGCAAAGGAAAAGCCAAUACAGAUUCUUGACAAGACAACAUACCAAGAAAAAGACAAUUCGUCCAGGAAGGUAGCCGCUGAUAUUGUUUACUUGUAUUUGUCCACCAUGUCCACUGACCAUAUCGAUCAUUUUGAUAUAGGAUCCUUCUUCCACAGGCUCAUAAACCUAGCAACAGAAUUUUAAUCCACCAUUUGGAAUCAAGCAUCAAUAACACAUUAAGACAUAGGAAAUACUUUCUCAUAAUUGGCCAGUCGAUCCUUGAAAUCUUGAUAUCCAGCUUCAUAAUCUGGCCUGCAUAAUUACAGGAAGCAUAAAUACAGAAUACUUGAGGUCAAAAGUAAGCAGCUUCAGAUAUAACCAUACUGCUCAGCAUAGUCAGGGCUUUGUUGAAUUUUAAGACGUAUAUUUCUUUCAAUAAUGCGUUCAUCAUUGCAUAUUGUUUCCAAAAAAAUAAUCUGCAAUGAAAGAAUAAGUGAAUCAGAAGAGUUCAAUCCUACUCAUUACACUUUGGUUACAGUCCAAUAAAAUUUGGUUUCUUUGCACUUUAUUUCCUUAUACAUUAUAUGUUAACCACUGGUACUGAAAAUUAAGUGAUGAGAUACCAAUUUACAAAAAUUACUCUGCAAGUCUUCCUGUUAUUGAAGAGAUGGGAGGAAGAGAUGUUUGCAUGGAGGAGAUUUGAUAAGAAACAAAAAUAAAAUAAAAUCACAAAAGUGCAAAAUCAGGGAGAAACAAAUUAAAAAUACUAAUUCCAAAAGGAUAAGCUUCACCUAGACACCUAAUCACAUAGGUUCAUACUAAUUAAGUUUAGAGCUGCAUGCACAAAUAGUCCUAGUACCUUGCACUUUCCUUCAGCCAUUUUCAUCAGCAUAUUCCUCCUACUUCUGGUACUGUUUGUUGCAUCAAAUAUUCCUACCUGGCCACCUUCUUGCAUCCAGGUAGUCAUAUCAUCCAUUGCCAGUGCUGCUACCUAGUAGCAUUUGACAAAUUAAAACUAUGUACAAAGGAGAAUGUUAAUAUGGUGGGAUCAAAUCAUCUCAGAAAAAAUAAAUUCAGCAAUACAGCAUUUUUGACAACAGACAAGUCUGUCUUUAUGGGAUUAGAGAUCCUUUCUCUCCCUCUAUCAUUAACACACUUAAUAUUUCACUUAGAGUUUAUCUGAAUCAAAUGAUUUUUACAGUAAAAGCCAAAUCAUAAAUCCAAAUAUUUCAAUGGAUCAAUACUCAGAUUAAUUCACAUGUUUAAAUGAAAGACUGUAAGGUGAGCUAUUAUCAGAUUUUAUUCUUUAAAUGUCAAUAAAUAUUCUAUCAUCAUCCCAUAAAAGAAAAAUUAAUUCUAUCAUCAUCUCGACAGGGAAAACUGCUAUAGCUGAACCUAUAAAAUAUUAAAUGUUUACCCAGUCCAACCAAACACUUAAUUCAUGCUCAGAGAAAAAGUUAACUAAAACCCGUCCAACAUAUCACAAGGAUAAAAGAAAAAUAACCACAGGCUCAAGAGGAAACAAAGUCAUCAUAAUUGACUGAAACAAUAUUUAGUUGACGGAUAUUC
rnacentral:misc_RNA from 1 species